rfam:Dialister invisus CAG:218 genomic scaffold, scf46
GGAUCAUUAGCUCAGUUGGUAGAGCACCUGACUCUUAAUCAGGGUGUCCGGGGUUCGAACCCCUGAUGAUCCA